GCCAUGUCCAGGGGUGUGGUGCCUGGCACUACUCCCUCAUCUUCUCCAGCCUUCUCCCAAGAGUCGUCCAGGUCAUAGAGAGGCUCAAAGUUCUCCACCAGGGGGUCUGCUCCUAUGGAGUCAGGCAACACAGUGUUAGGAUUGCACACAGGACUCACAUUUCUUUUUUUUUCUUUUUUAAAGGGGUUAUUUAUUCAUUUUAUUUAUAUGAGUACACCAUAGCUGUCUCCAGGCACACCAGAAGAGGGCAGCAGAUCACAUUAGAGAUGGUUGUGAGCCACCAUGUGGUUGCUGGGACUUGAACUCAGGACCUCUGGAAGAUCAGUCAGUGCUCCUAACCACUGAGCCAUCUCUCCAGCCCCAGGACUCACAUUUCUAAGGACAAUUUAGCUCUUGCUCAUUCAGGCGAUUACGGGCUAGCUUUCCAUUUCUGGGGAAAUUUAAAACAAUUUUUCACCAUUUUAGUUUACUUCUACUGGAAAGGUAUCCUGGGUAACCUCUAUAGCCAAGGAUACUAUCACAAACAAAAGAGAAGCAGAGGGGGAGAGGUGGAGGAGGAGUUAUGUGAAGGGGGACUGGGAGGAGGGAGGCCGUGAUUGGGAUGUAAAGUGCGUGACUGAGACUCCCCCGAUUUGGAUUUUUUUAACUAAAUGAUGCAUUUUAACCUGAGGACUUGUAGGUGGCAAUUUACAGGGCCACGAUGUACCUGGGGCAAAGCCCUGCACUUUCACACUUACAUCUACCAAUGCACACUUCUCACACUCUCUCUUGCCUGGGUGGGACAGAUCUGCUUGGACAGUUCU
rnacentral:lncRNA from 1 species